rnacentral:rRNA from 1 species
UGAAUACGAGACGCUACGGCGUCGAAGCAGUCUAUGUCAUACUUCCAAGAAAAGCUCGCAAUGUCAUAAACAAAUAAUGCCUGUACCAUAACCGACACAGGUGGGUAGGUAGAGUAUACUAAGGGGCGCGAGAUAACUCUCUCUAAGGAACUCGGCAAAAUGACUCCGUAACUUCGGGAGAAGGAGUGCCUAUUUAUAAGGUUGCAAUAACAAGAUCCAAGCAACUGUUUAUCAAAAACACAGGUCUCCGCUAAGUCGUAAGACGAUGUAUGGGGGCUGACGCCUGCCCAGUGCCAGAAGGUUAAAGAAGUUGGUUAGCAUUCGCGAAGCUGAUAACUGAAGCCCUGGUGAACGGCGGCCGUAACGAUAACGGUCCUAAGGUAGCGAAAUUCCUUGUCGGGUAAGUUCCGACCCGCACGAAAGGCGUAAUGAUUUGGAUACUGUCUCGGAGAGGGGCUCGGUGAAAUAGACUUGUCUGUGAAGAUGCGGACUACCUGCACCUAGACAGAAAGACCCUAUGAAGCUUUACUGUAACUUGAAAUUGAAAUUGGACUUUAUUUGCGCAGCAUAGGUGGGAGGCGUUGAGAGUAUUCUUGCGGGAAUAUUGGAGCCAUCAGUGAGAUACCACUCUUGUAAUGUUAGAUUUCUAACUUUGGAUCAUUAUCUGGUCAAAGAACAGUUUCAGGCGGGCAGUUUGACUGGGGCGGUCGCCUCCCAAAUGGUAACGGAGGCGUACAAAGGUUUCCUCUGAACGGGUAGAAAUCGUAUCUAGAGUGUAAAGGCAUAAGGAAGCUUGACUGUGAGACCUACAAGUCGAGCAGGGACGAAAGUCGGUCUUAGUGAUCUGACGGUGCUGAGUGGAAAGGCCGUCACUCAACGGAUAAAAGUUACUCUAAGGAUAACAGGCUGAUCUCCCCCAAGAGUUCACAUCGACGGGGAGGUUUGGCACCUCGAUGUCGGCUCAUCGCAUCCUGGGGCGGUAGUACGUCCCAAGGGUUGGGCUGUUCGCCCAUGAAAGCGGUACGCGAGCUGGGUUCAGAACGUCGUGAGACUUCGGUCCAUAUCCGGUGUAGGCGUUAGAAUAUUGAGAGGAGCCUUCUUUAGUACGAGAGGACCGAGAAGGACAUACCUCUGGUGUACCAGUUAUCGUGCCAACGGUAAACGCUGGGUAGCUAUGUAUGGAGAGGAUAACCGCUGAAAGCAUCUAAGUGGGAAGCCCACCUCAAGAUAAGUAUUCUCC